rnacentral:rRNA from 1 species
GAUUGAACGCUGGCGGCAUGCCUUACACAUGCAAGUCGAACGGCAGCACGGGUGCUUGCACCUGGUGGCGAGUGGCGAACGGGUGAGUAAUACAUCGGAACAUGUCCUGUAGUGGGGGAUAGCCCGGCGAAAGCCGGAUUAAUACCGCAUACGAUCUACGGAUGAAAGCGGGGGACCUUCGGGCCUCGCGCUAUAGGGUUGGCCGAUGGCUGAUUAGCUAGUUGGUGGGGUAAAGGCCUACCAAGGCGACGAUCAGUAGCUGGUCUGAGAGGACGACCAGCCACACUGGGACUGAGACACGGCCCAGACUCCUACGGGAGGCAGCAGUGGGGAAUUUUGGACAAUGGGCGAAAGCCUGAUCCAGCAAUGCCGCGUGUGUGAAGAAGGCCUUCGGGUUGUAAAGCACUUUUGUCCGGAAAGAAAUCCUUGGCUCUAAUACAGUCGGGGGAUGACGGUACCGGAAGAAUAAGCACCGGCUAACUACGUG